GAUGAACGCUGGCGGCGUGCCUAAUACAUGCAAGUCGAGCGAACGGACGAGAAGCUUGCUUCUCUGAUGUUAGCGGCGGACGGGUGAGUAACACGUGGAUAACCUACCUAUAAGACUGGGAUAACUUCGGGAAACCGGAGCUAAUACCGGAUAAUAUUUUGAACCGCAUGGUUCAAAAGUGAAAGACGGUCUUGCUGUCACUUAUAGAUGGAUCCGCGCUGCAUUAGCUAGUUGGUAAGGUAACGGCUUACCAAGGCAACGAUGCAUAGCCGACCUGAGAGGGGGAUCGGCCACACUGGAACUGAGACACGGUCCAGACUCCUACGGGAGGCAGCAGUAGGGAAUCUUCCGCAAUGGGCGAAAGCCUGACGGAGCAACGCCGCGUGAGUGAUGAAGGUCUUCGGAUCGUAAAACUCUGUUAUUAGGGAAAAACAUAUGUGUAAGUAACUGUGCACAUCUUGACGGUACCUAAUCAGAAAGCCACGGCUAACUACGUG
rnacentral:rRNA from 1 species